CUCCAGGGCUCCUUCCUAAUCAAGUCUAAAGAGAUCGAGCCAGGGCUUUUCACUCCGGCCCGCUGAAGUCCAAUUGAAACGGUCUGUUCAAUACAAUUUGGACCCUGAGGAAGUGGGCACUUCGGAGAGACUUAAUGGUCAUCAAAAUGUAAAUGCCUUCCAUGUCGGCAGGAGGGGAUGAAGCCUGUGUGAGAGGAAGGAGUCAUACUGGUUUGAGGGGGAAGGAACGAGCCUUACACAUAAAAAUACAUGGAUCACAGACUGUCUGAAACUCAAACAUUGUGGGUUGACUGUACGUGUGUGUCUGUUGUGGUUGCUGAUGCAUCCUGAGUAGCAUCCAGCUAACAAACUCAUGGAUGGCUGAUGACUGCAUCUCCCUAAUGGCGCCCUGGAGGCUGGCUGGCUCUGUCUGUCUGUCUGUCUGUCUGUCUGUCUGUCUGUCUGUCUGUCUGUCUGUCUGUCUGUGUGUCUGUGUGUCUGUGUGUCUGUGUGUGUGUGUUUGUUUUCCCAGCUCCUGGAUGAGAGCUAGCGAUGACAGCGAGAGCAGCGGGCGGGAUAAAUUGAGCCACACAGCCACUCAUAGGUGACCUUACCUCAGCCCUGUCCAAUGAGAAGGCCCCUGAGACUGUGCUCUGCAUCAUAGGGGGAGGAGGGAAAAGCUCAGCCAGCUGCUACACAACAAGAAAGAGGGAGCUUUUAUCUCCAUGUCCUGCUGUUCAUCUAACACACACUAUUGUUAGCCUCUACAGAUGAUUUGACCUUUUCCUACAGAUUAUUAUCCCUUCAAGCACUGGCCUUUAUCAGCCUCAUCUCUCCCAUCGUUGUCCCAUUCCUCUUAUCUGUCCUCUCCUUUAUUAGCCUAGGAUCUGGUCAUAGGUUAGAUUGGAGGACUGCAGCGUGCCGCCCGGUCCGCCCAGUGAGGGGGGUCCAGGUGGUUAACCCACUGUGGGGAGCUGUUGUAAUACUGAUCCACUGAACAAAGUGAGGCUCUGGCUUGUUUCACACCAGGUUACACUAAAGGAGGGAUUCCACAGCGAGGUAGACACACAGGUUGACACACACACACGUUGCUGAAGAGAUCUGAUAGCCUAUGCAUGGAGACAUGAAGCACCAUGUGAACUGUAGACUACAUAACAUGUGUAAACAACUACCUCCAGAGAUCAGGUUACCUGCCUGCUAGGGCUGGGAAUUGCCAGGGACCUCACGAUACCAUAUUAUCACCAUACUUAGGUGCCGAUACCAUAUUAUCACCAUACUUAGGUGCCGAUAGCAUAUUAUCACCAUACUUAGGUGCCGAUAGCAUAUUAUCACCAUACUUAGGUGCCGAUAGCAUAUUAUCACCAUACUUAGGUGCCGAUAGCAUAUUAUCACCAUACUUAGGUGCCGAUAGCAUAUUAUCACCAUACUUAGGUGCCGAUAGCAUAUUAUCACCAUACUUAGGUGCCGAUAGCAUAUUAUCACCAUACUUAGGUGCCGAUAGCAUAUUAUCACCAUACUUAGGUGCCGAUAGCAUAUUAUCACCAUACUUAGGUGCCGAUAGCAUAUUAUCACCAUACUUAGGUGCCGAUAGCAUAUUAUCACCAUACUUAGGUGCCGAUAGCAUAUUAUCACCAUACUUAGGUGCCGAUAGCAUAUUAUCACCAUACUUAGGUGCCGAUAGCAUAUUAUCACCAUACUUAGGUGCCGAUAGCAUAUUAUCACCAUACUUAGGUGCCGAUAGCAUAUUAUCACCAUACUUAGGUGCCGAUAGCAUAUUAUCACCAUACUUAGGUGCCGAUAGCAUAUUAUCACCAUACUUAGGUGCCGAUAGCAUAUUAUCACCAUACUUAGGUGCCGAUAGCAUAUUAUCACCAUACUUAGGUGCCGAUACCAUAUUAUCACCAUACUUAGGUGCCGAUACCAUAUUAUCACCAUACUUAGGUGCCGAUAGCAUAUUAUCACCAUACUUAGGUGCCGAUACCAUAUUAUCACCAUACUUCGGUGCCGAUAUGUUAUGCGAUUCUCAUGAUUCUUAUAUGUAUUGCAGUUUGAUACUGUGAUUUUUAUUGCGAUUUCGAUGUUCCAAACAUGUUGCUCACCACAUGUCCGCUGCAG